rnacentral:rRNA from 1 species
AUUGAACGCUGGCGGCAGGCCUAACACAUGCAAGUCGAGCGGGGUUUUCGGACCUAGCGGCGGACGGGUGAGUAAUGCGUAGGAAGCUACCCGGUAGAGGGGGAUCCCAGUUGGAAACGGCUGUUAAGACUGCAUAAUGUCUACGGACCAAAGUGUGGGCCCUUUGGGCUACAUGCUAUCGGAUGCGCCUACGUGGGAUUAGCUAGUUGGUGAGGUAAUGGCUCACCAAGGCGACGAUCCCUAGCUGGUUUGAGAGGAUGAUCAGCCUACACUGGAACUGAGACACGGUCCAGACUCCUACGGGAGGCAGCAGUGGGGAAUAUUGGACAAUGGGCGCAAGCCUGAUCCAGCCAUGCCGCGUGUGUGAAGAAGGCCUUCGGGUUGUAAAGCACUUUCAGUAGGGAGGAAGGGUGUUGUGUUAAUAGCGCAGCAUUUUGACGUUACCUACAGAAGAAGCACCGGCUAACUCUGUGCCAGCAGCCGCCGCCGUAA